UGUUUCGGCAAGGGGGUCAUCCCGACUUACCAACCCGAUGCAAACUGCGAAUACCGGAGAAUGUUAUCACGGGAGACACACGGCGGGUGCUAACGUCCGUCGUGAAGAGGGAAACAACCCAGACCGCCAGCUAAGGUCCCAAAGUCAUGGUUAAGUGGGAAACGAUGUGGGAAGGCCCAGACAGCCAGGAUGUUGGCUUAGAAGCAGCCAUCAUUUAAAGAAAGCGUAAUAGCUCACUGGUCGAGUCGGCCUGCGCG
rnacentral:rRNA from 1 species